UACGUAGGGUGCGAGCGUUGUCCGGAAUUACUGGGCGUAAAGAGCUCGUAGGUGGUUUGUCGCGUUGUCCGUGAAAACUCACAACUCAAUUGUGGGCGUGCGGGCGAUACGGGCAGACUGGAGUACUGCAGGGGAGACUGGAAUUCCUGGUGUAGCGGUGGAAUGCGCAGAUAUCAAGUAGAACACCAGUGGCGAAGGCGAGUCCCUGGAAAACUCCUGACACUGAGGCACGAAAGCUAGGGGAGCAAACAGG
rnacentral:rRNA from 1 species